AUGAACGCUGGCGGCGUGCCUAAUCCAUGCAAGUCGAGCGAACGGACGAGAAGCUUGCUUCUCUGAUGUUAGCGGCGGACGGGUGAGUAACACGUGGAUAACCUACCUAUAAGACUGGGAUAACUUCGGGAAACCGGAGCUAAUACCGGAUAAUAUUUUGAACCGCAUGGUUCAAAAGUGAAAGACGGUCCUGCUGUCACUUAUAGAUGGAUCCGCGCUGCAUUAGCUAGUUGGUAAGGUAACGGCUUACCAAGGCAACGAUGCAUAGCCGACCUGAGAGGGUGAUCGGCCACACUGGAACUGAGACACGGUCCAGACUCCUACGGGAGGCAGCAGUAGGGAAUCUUCCGCAAUGGGCGAAAGCCUGACGGAGCAACGCCGCGUGAGUGAUGAAGGUCUUCGGAUCGUAAAACUCUGUUAUUAGGGAAGAACAUAUGUGUAAGUAACUGUGCACAUCUUGACGGUACCUAAUCAGAAAGCCACGGCUAACUACGUG
rnacentral:rRNA from 1 species